rnacentral:rRNA from 1 species
UACGUAGGUGGCGAGCGUUGUCCGGAUUUACUGGGCGUAAAGAGCGCGCAGGCGGUCGUACAAGUCGCGUGUGAAAGCCCCCGGCUCAACUGGGGAGGGUCACGCGAUACUGUUCGACUCGAAGGCAGGAGAGGGAAGUGGAAUUCCCGGUGUAGUGGUGAAAUGCGUAGAUAUCGGGAAGAACACCGAUGGCGAAGGCAGCCAUCUGGACCGACACUGACGCUGAGGCGCGAAAGCGUGGGGAGCAAACAGG